ACGGCAGCACGGGAGCAAUCCUGGUGGCGAGUGGCGAACGGGUGAGUAAUAUAUCGGAACGUGCCCAGUCGUGGGGGAUAACGCAGCGAAAGCUGUGCCAAUACCGCAUACGAUCUACGGAUGAAAGCGGGGGAUCGCAAGACCUCGCGCGAUUGGAGCGGCCGAUAUCAGAUUAGCUAGUUGGUGGGGUAAAGGCCCACCAAGGCGACGAUCUGUAGCUGGUCUGAGAGGACGACCAGCCACACUGGAACUGAGACACGGUCCAGACUCCUACGGGAGGCAGCAGUGGGGAAUUUUGGACAAUGGGCGCAAGCCUGAUCCAGCAAUGCCGCGUGCAGGAUGAAGGCCUUCGGGUUGUAAACUGCUUUUGUACGGAACGAAACGGUCUGCCCUAAUACGGCGGGCUAAUGACGGUACCGUAAGAAUAAGCACCGGCUAACUACGUGCCAGCAGCCGCGGUAAUACGUAGGGUGCGAGCGUUAAUCGGAAUUACUGGGCGUAAAGCGUGCGCAGGCGGUUAUAUAAGACAGAUGUGAAAUCCCCGGGCUCAACCUGGGACCUGCAUUUGUGACUGUAUAGCUAGAGUACGGUAGAGGGGGAUGGAAUUCCGCGUGUAGCAGUGAAAUGCGUAGAUAUGCGGAGGAACACCGAUGGCGAAGGCAAUCCCCUGGACCUGUACUGACGCUCAUGCACGAAAGCGUGGGGAGCAAACAGGAUUAGAUACCCUGGUAGUCCACGCCCUAAACGAUGUCAACUGGUUGUUGGGUCUUCACUGACUCA
rnacentral:rRNA from 1 species